rnacentral:rRNA from 1 species
GGAUGACAGACUGAGAGCUCUUUCUCGAUUCGGUGGGUGGUGGUGCAUGGCCGUUCUUAGUUGGUGGAGCGAUCUGUCUGGUUAAUUCCGAUAACGAACGAGACCCCAACCUGCUAACUAGCCCUCGGGUCUGGCUUCUGGCGGGCCCGACGGAAUGAUUCGCUUCUUAGAGGGACUCGCGGCGCCUAGCCGCACGAAGGGGGGCGAUAACAGGUCUGUGAUGCCCUUAGAUGUUCGGGGCUGCACGCGCGCUACACUGAAGGCAUCAGCGUGCGCUUUGUCCGUUCCCUGCCUGAAAAGGCUGGGUAACCCGCUGAACCGCCUUCGUGCCUGGGAUAGGGAUUUGCAAUUAUCUCCCUUGAACGAGGAAUUCCCAGUAGGCGCGAGUCAUCAGCUCGCGUCGAUUACGUCCCUGCCCCUUUGUAA